UUAGGGCUCCCACACAUAACUGCGAAUUCGCGUCGCAUCGCAAAUAUAUGCGACAAAAUUCAUACUAAUAAUGACAACUGACAAUACGA